rnacentral:rRNA from 1 species
ACUUCGGUACAUCGGUGACAGGUGGUGCAUGGUUGUCGUCAGCUCGUGUCGUGAGAUGUUGGGUUAAUCCCCGCAACGAGCGCAACCCCGCCGUUAGUUGCCAGCGGUUCGGCCGGGCACUCUAACGGGACUGCCCGCGAAAAGCGGGAGGAAGGAGGGGACACGUCUGGUCAGCAUGGCCCCUACGGCCUGGGCGACACACGUGCUACAAUGCCCACUACAAAGCGAGGCCACCCGGCAACGGGGAGCUAAUCGCAAAAAGGUGGGCCCAGUUCGGAUUGGGGUCUGCAACCCGACCCCAUGAAGCCGGAAUCGCUAGUAAUCGCGGAUCAGCCAUGCCCGCGGUCGAAUACGUUCCCGGGCCUU